rnacentral:rRNA from 1 species
GACGAACGCUGGCGGCGUGCCUAACACAUGCAAGUCGAACGGAGUAGUUAGCAAUAGCUACUUAGUGGCGAACGGGUGAGUAACGCGUAGACAACCUGCCUCUAAAUUGGGGACAACACCGCGAAAGUGGUGCUAAUACCGAAUGUGGUAACUUUGUCGCAUGACGAAGUUAAGAAAGAUGGCCUCUACAAGUAAGCUAUCGUUUAGAGAUGGGUCUGCGUCUGAUUAGCUAGUUGGUGAGGUAACGGCUCACCAAGGCGACGAUCAGUAGCCGGUCUGAGAGGAUGAACGGCCACACUGGGACUGAGACACGGCCCAGACUCCUACGGGAGGCUG